CGUCACCGCUCCAGGCAUGCCAAAGAACAGAGGAGAGCAGGUAUCCUUUGAGCAGCCUCUGGAGUAGAAUCAGGAUUUGAGGUACCCGGAGGAGGUUUGCAGCCAAAGUUUGGAAACGGCAGCACCGAAGCAAACACGGAGAACGUCCCGACGUCCACGUACAACCGACGAUGGAUUUUGUCCGCUCGUCUUCCAAAAGCUAAGUGUCGCGGCCAGUAGUUGGGAGAAGGGGAAAAACCUUUACUAUCACAGGGGGCAAUUUGAUGUCAGUUUAGCGCAGAGGUCUGUAGCGGGAUGGGCUCUCUGGAAGCAAAGGGAGAGGGUUUCUCCUCAGCCUCACCACAGCCUCUGCCGGGCAGGGCAGUUCCGACCCAUCUCCACAUUGUCGUAAACUUUGCGUCGUCAGCCUUCUUCAACUCGACAUCGUCACGGAUCUUUCGCCCGAGGAGUUCGCCUUCAGGUCCGGAGCUACGGCCACGGUCAACCGGCGGUCUCCGCUUCCUUCUCUAGGCCCACCGAGCCUCUCUAGCGUCCUCUUAACCGCUUCGGUGCUAACUUCUUUUAACGAGUUACAUUUCAUCAUUACAUCCUAUCGUCAUACGGCUUUCUUUCCUUUUGCAUCAUCAGCCCCCGGCUCAUCUUGCGCUAGCAAUCUCGGGUCCAUAAGGUGAAAGCGCCAGGCAGUUUCCACUUGUCUCUCCGUUACAUCAUCCGUGUCUAUGUUACGUCAUCCAUGUCCGUGUUACGUAGUCUGUCUCCACCGUCUUCCAUGUCGUAGGCCUUCGUUCCAUCCCAGCUCUUUACGGGCACUAUUUCUUGCCAUAUCGGCCGUAUUUUACACACAUUCCUUCACUUAUUCCGGCAUCUUUAAAUCUUUACUCUUUGAGACGGGAAGGAUUACACAAGAUGUCCUCAUCCAUCUUCCUUCUCGCUACCGGCUUUGGUAGCGCCUUUUCCUCCACGCCAUUCUCUUGGACUUUUAGAGGGAGUGUCUUACACCCUCCUCACGUGACCGCAGUAGUUCUCUAGGUUCCAUCUUCUCAAAGGGUAUAGGGCUCAAGAAUUAAUCUUUCAGAGAGUUAUGUCAAGUGCUGGCUUAUACCUUAUCUACCUGUGUUGGCUUAUACUCUGUGUACUUAUACUGUAUCUACCUGCGUUGGCUUAUAUUGUAUGUACUCUAUAUUGUCUGUACCUAUGUUGGCUUAUAGUGUAUGUACUUAUAUUGUCUGUACCUAUGUUGGCUUAUAUUGUCUGUAAUUAUGUUGGCUUAUAGUGUCUGUACCUUUAGUGUCUGUACCUAUGUUGGCUUAUAGUGUCUGUACCUAUGUUGGCUGUCCCUAUGUUGGCUUAUAGUGUCUGUACCUAUGCUGGCUUAUAGUGUCUGUACCUAUGUUGGCUGUACCUAUGUUGGCUUAUAGUGUCUGUACCUAUGCUGGCUGUACCUAUGUUGGCUUAUAGUGUCUGUACCUAU